rnacentral:rRNA from 1 species
UACGUAGGUGGCAAGCGUUGUCCGGAAUUAUUGGGCGUAAAGCGCGCGCAGGCGGUCCUUUAAGUCCGAUGUGAAAGCCCACGGCUCAACCGUGGAGGGUCAUUGGAAACUGGGGGACUUGAGUACAGAAGAGGAAAGCGGAAUUCCACGUGUAGCGGUGAAAUGCGUAGAGAUGUGGAGGAACACCAGUGGCGAAGGCGGCUUUCUGGUCUGUAACUGACGCUGAGGCGCGAAAGCGUGGGGAGCAAACAGG